ensembl:lncRNA
GAAAUGAGACGAAUGGCAGAGGAAAACAAGAAACUGAAAUCCAGCGGCUGGGGAGAUGAAGGAAGACUCUCUCCCCCAGUGCGUGGAGGAGGCCAGUGUAUGUGUGGUGAACAAGGCUGCCAGUCGCGUCGCCCGCGGGGUGACCACAGGUGGCGCUCACCUGACCGUGGCUGGCGUGAACGAGAAGCGGAAGGAGGUCCCAGCGGAAGACAGGAUUACAAGGCGUCCUUUGGUGACCGAACCCCCUCUCCAACUUGGCGGGACCCUAGACCUACCAGAGGCUCCUUCCAGGAUGAUUCACAGAGAAGGAGAGGGGUUUUCUCUCACCCAAGAGGGAGGAUCCUGCCAACCGUUCGGGGAAAGAGAUGUAGCUGAUGUUGCGGCCCAAACGUCAGCUACCGCACUUUGGGGCCCUUUUGAGCGAGAAAUGCUUCCCUCCGCAGCAGAUCAUGCCUGCAGUCAGACCCUCGAAACACAGACAAGUCAGAACGUGGCCCACACCAAAGACUGUGAACGAGCAGGACGAGGGACCCUCCUAUGGGGACUGGACAGCUGAGGAGCCCCUCGUUGCUGUGGGCACAGGGGUGCCACGACAGAAUGUAUCCCGUUCGGGAAGGAUAAUUUCAAUGCAAACAGGGUGUCUAACAAUGUGUGGUAUUAUAUCUGAACUACGAAUGUGGGUUGACAUGCUGUUUGAAUGUUGGUUUGUUAUUAUUUCUGUGGAGCAGAAUGUUAAUGUUGUACUGCAACUGUUUUAAUUGAGUUAAUUGUGGUGAUUAUUUUGGUGUAUUAUUUUGGGCAAAACAGCUAUUUUGAUUAUGAAUAGUGGGUAUGAUGCUCUGUGUUUAUGGUUAAGGGUAUAGUAUUGUGUUGAUUGUUAUUUAAAGGUAAAAAUGUUAUGUUCCCUUGGUGCUGCUACAUAUUUUUGCAAGUGGCUCCGUUUUCAUUUUUUGCUCGUAAGUUGUUGUUGCGUGGAAACGGGGACAUUUCUUUUGAAGGGGGGGAGUUAUGUAACCGAGUUCCUGUCAGGGACUCUUAUUUUGAAGGAGCAGAACGGAAGUGUCUGCGUGUGGGACGCUGUUUUGACUGCGUGGGGAGCGCGAAAAUAAUAAAGAGGAUCGCUCCGUUAAGUGAGUGGAGUUGUUCAAUUCUUCUUUAUUAUUUUUGCCCAAAUAGAAACGAUAAUAAAACGCUUGGUUACAAUAAUAAUAAUAAAAUGCUCAAGACCUGGGGCCUGUACCACGUAGCUCGCUGAACAUAGCGGAAAUCCUAGCGGAAAACCUGGCUCGACAGAACCGCAACUCGCAAUUAAACGGUACCACCGUUUAAUUGCGACUCCCAGGUGACGCGAAUUUAUGUGAAGCUUAAAAAGUCCCAAUUCUCAUGCAUAUGGAAUACUUAUUCACUAAAGCUUAUGGAAUUAUAUUUUUGUGCUUAUUUCGAACUUGAACCCAUAUUUUCAAGGCCGUGCUGGCACCACAUCUAUGGGGGUAAAAUGCACGAUGAUAGACCGGCGAAUUUGAACCCCGGUCGCUGGCGUUCGGGUUUUAUACUAAUCCACUACGCUACAGCCGCUACCUCUCAGCGGUUGAAAACAUGCGAUACAUGUCUUAUGUAUGUAUUUAAAGUGAAUUCCCUAAAUGAUAGAAUAAAGCAGGAUGGACUUUGCUUAUGCAUUUUUAAAUCAUCAUCAUUCUAUUUGGAUUAAUGGCGAACAAUUCUGCCUUUGGCAUAGUUAUUUUAUAGACAAUUUGCAGAAUCUUUUCACUUAUACGCAUAUAGACUGCUUGAUCUAUCGUAAAGGUGAGAAAAAUGACGCAAAAAACGCCCCUUUCAAGUGAACGCGCACUGAACCUAAAGCGGAAAACCUGGUUCAACUAAUUGAAUCUAAAGUGAGCUUCGUGGUACCAUUUAACUCUGAUUGCGAGUUGCAGGUUUUCCCAAGAAAGCCUGGGUAUGUUCAGCGAGGUUCGUGGUAUACCCCCCUGCUGUGACAUCAACACAUUGUUUUGUUCAGGUAAAUAUUGUUUCAUACCAUUUUGUUUACAGAUUCUGAACUGUAUUGCAUCUUUUGUUGUAUUGUAAAUUUAUCUGCAUUAUUCCAUAUUUUGAAUGAUGUCAGCCAUUUUGGGUCAGUGUUCUUUAUUUUUUUAAUUUUUUUAUUUCCAACACAAACGACUGGACAUUUUAAUGUAUAAAACAUCAUUGUCUAGCAAAGUUGAAGCAUUUUUUUCUUUUCUAUUUCAUGGUCUAAAUUCAAUUUUAAGGACACUAAUGCAAAAAUACUUGUCUCAGA